GUGGGGAAUAUUGGACAAUGGGGGGAACCCUGAUCCAGCCAUGCCGCGUGUGUGAAGAAGGCCUUUUGGUUGUAAAGCACUUUAAGCGAGGAGGAGGCUACCGAGAUUAAUACUCUUGGAUAGUGGACGUUACUCGCAGAAUAAGCACCGGCUAACUCUGUGCCAGCAGCCGCGGUAAUACAGAGGGUGCAAGCGUUAAUCGGAUUUACUGGGCGUAAAGCGCGCGUAGGUGGCCAAUUAAGUCAAAUGUGAAAUCCCCGAGCUUAACUUGGGAUUUGCAUUCGAUACUGGUUGGCUAGAGUAUGGGAGAGGAUGGUAGAAUUCCAGGUGUAGCGGUGAAAUGCGUAGAGAUCUGGAGGAAUACCGAUGGCGAAGGCAGCCAUCUGGCCUAAUACUGACACUGAGGUGCGAAAGCAUGGGGAGCAAACAGGAUUAGAUACCCUGGUAGUCC
rnacentral:rRNA from 1 species